UUUCUUGUGAUAAGACUCUAGGAGAUGAGAGGUGGGUGCUGCCUGGACAAUUUACAUUUGAAAGCAUUUCUUUGGAGCUGUUUGCCUUUGGAAGGGAGAGCUCAGAACUGUUUACUGGACUGUUUACUGGCAGAAGAUCUGUCCUGUGACCAAAUAAUUCCUCUUUGCUGCGGGAGACCAGGGAAUGAUACCACUGUAUCCUGUGAAGACAAGAUACAAGUUGGCAUUUCCAUACUCCUUAUUAUCUGCUGGCAAGGCCAGGGAGAUGGGAACAAAAGUUCCUGCUGAGAUCCAAAACCUAGAAGCUGUCACUCCAAAAGGCUGACUCAACCACUUUGGACUUAUAAAUAACUUUACGCUGCCGUUGCAGUUGUCGUUGUCAUCAGUGGAACAACACCCAACAACCCACCACUACUGAAGAUCAAUGACUGAACCACGAACCACUCUGGACCCAUGGUGGUGACUAUCUCCCUCUUGCUUCCUGUAGAGACUCCUUGCUCUUAUUUUGUAUCUUUUCUACUGCCCUUCUUCCCUUCCCCAUCACCCUAAUUUCUACCUAUAAAGACUCCUUUCUUCUAUUUUCUAUCUUUUCUAUUGCCCUUCCUCCCUUCCCCAUCACCCCAAUUCGUAACAGUGUCCAUCCUCCCCUUCUUCAUCUCCCUUAUUAACAUUUGUAAUAAACUGGUUGGACCAACAUUUGAAUCGUUGUUUCUUAAUCUGACACCGGGUAUACAUAUAUCAAAGAACCUCCUCUCCCUCCUAUAAAUAGGAGCGAGACGGUCAGUUGGCAACAUUUUUAUAUGGAAUGACUAUUAGCAUCUUGUGGAAGUACGUUCUGGUGAAAAACUCCUGAAUGCAAAAUAGUUUUUACUGUCAUGAGCAGUCAUCCUGAAGAACAUGUUUUAUGCCUCAGGUAUAAGAUGAUGAAGGAAAAAUGUUCAACUUCAUUAUAAGAGCUGAGUGCAGUUCUGAUAAUUUCCAAACUAAGGAUAUAUAUCCAAAGUAGUGGAGAGGAACAGACAGCAAUACUAGAUAUGAACAGAAAUGUCAUCUUAUCAUGCUUAACUGAUGUGAUGCUGGUUAGUGGAGAUUUAACUCAAUGCCUGGAAUACCAAGAGAGACCGCUAACCAUCUCUUUACCUUUUGAAUCUAAAAACAGUAGGAAAGAGUGGAGUGAGUUAAAGUGCUGCAUUGCCAUUCCCUACGUUAUCG
ensembl:lncRNA